rnacentral:rRNA from 1 species
AGCAGGGCGGGCAGCUUACACAUGCAAGUCGAGCGGGGGAAGGUAGCUUGCUACUGGACCUAGCGGCGGACGGGUGAGUAAUGCUUAGGAAUCUGCCUAUUAGUGGGGGACAACAUCUCGAAAGGGAUGCUAAUACCGCAUACGUCCUACGGGAGAAAGCAGGGGAUCUUCGGACCUUGCGCUAAUAGAUGAGCCUAAGUCGGAUUAGCUAGUUGGUGGGGUAAAGGCCUACCAAGGCGACGAUCUGUAGCGGGUCUGAGAGGAUGAUCCGCCACACUGGGACUGAGACACGGCCCAGACUCCUACGGGAGGCAGCAGUGGGGAAUAUUGGACAAUGGGGGGAACCCUGAUCCAGCCAUGCCGCGUGUGUGAAGAAGGCCUUAUGGUUGUAAAGCACUUUAAGCGAGGAGGAGGCUACUUUAGUUAAUACCUAGAGAUAGUGGACGUUACUCGCAGAAUAAGCACCGGCUAACUCUGUGCCAGCAGCCGCGGUAAUACAGAGGGUGCGAGCGUUAAUCGGAUUUACUGGGCGUAAAGCGUGCGUAGGCGGCUUAUUAAGUCGGAUGUGAAAUCCCCGAGCUUAACUUGGGAAUUGCAUUCGAUACUGGUGAGCUAGAGUAUGGGAGAGGAUGGUAGAAUUCCAGGUGUAGCGGUGAAAUGCGUAGAGAUCUGGAGGAAUACCGAUGGCGAAGGCAGCCAUCUGGCCUAAUACUGACGCUGAGGUACGAAAGCAUGGGGAGCAAACAGGAUUAGAUACCCUGGUAGUCCAUGCCGUAAACGAUGUCUACUAGCCGUUGGGGCCUUUGAGGCUUUAGUGGCGCAGCUAACGCGAUAAGUAGACCGCCUGGGGAGUACGGUCGCAAGACUAAAACUCAAAUGAAUUGACGGGGGCCCGCACAAGCGGUGGAGCAUGUGGUUUAAUUCGAUGCAACGCGAAGAACCUUACCUGGCCUUGACAUACUAGAAACUUUCCAGAGAUGGAUUGGUGCCUUCGGGAAUCUAGAUACAGGUGCUGCAUGGCUGUCGUCAGCUCGUGUCGUGAGAUGUGGGGUUAAGUCCCGCAACGAGCGCAACCCUUUUCUUACUGCCAGCAUUUCGGAUGGGAACUUUAAGGAUACUGCCCAGUGAACAAACUGGAGGAA